UCGAGAGGCUUUGGCAAUGGGGGAAACCCUGACCAAGCGACGCCGCGUGGAGGAUGAAGGCCCUUGGGUUGUAAACUCCUUUUGCCGGGGAAGAAGUGCGAUCAGGUGAACAAUCUGGUCGUUUGACGGUACCUGGCGAAUAAGCUCCGGCCAACUCCGUGCCAGCAGCCGCGGUAACACGGGGGGAGCAAGCGUUGUUCGGAAUCACUGGGCGUAAAGGGCGUGUAGGCGGUCAGGUAAGUGGAAUGUGAAAUGCCCCGGCUCACCCGGGGACCGGCAUCCCAAACUGCCUGGCUUGAGUAUGGGAGAGGAUGGAGGAAUUCCUGGUGUAGCGGUGAAAUGCGUAGAUAUCAGGAGGAACACCGGUGGCGAAGGCGUCCAUCUGGCCCAAUACUGACGCUGAGGCGCGAAAGCUAGGGGAGCAAACGGG
rnacentral:rRNA from 1 species